AUUACACCACUAUAUUCUUACAAAUCUUUUGACAACAGAGAAGAGCUACCUGUUUUUAUAAAUAAGUGCUGGGAAACAAACCAAGGGCUUUGUACAUGUGAGGAAGCGAAAACUAUGCUGGAACUUUGAACACCCAUGCAGUGGGCCACUUACGCUGGAGUGAGCAGUGCCCCUCAAAUCUAACAAAAUGAUGCUACUAACAGUUUCGAGAUCUUCUUUGCUUGGGGGACCUGCACCUAUGCUGUAGCGACCAUCAGCUGGACUCCCUGGGGAGUCAGACCAACUCCUGCACAAUCAUUAGGAUAAAGGAGAGCCUGAUGGAGCCAGGAAUAUCAGGAGACACCCUACUUCCUGUGGUUUUUUCCUGUUUGCUCCAGAUCCUUAAGGUCAGAGGAGCCAUCACAGUGACCCC